AUCGAUAACCGCUGAAAGCAUCUAAGCGGGAAGCGAGCYCUGAGAUGAGUCUUCCCUGAUACUUUAAGUAUCCUAAAGGGUUGUCGGAGACUACGACGUUGAUAGGUCAGGUGUGUAAGUGCUGUGAGGCAUUGAGCUAACUGAUACUAAUUGCCCGUGAGGCUUAACCAUACAACACCCAAGGGGUUU
rnacentral:rRNA from 1 species